GCUGGGUAUGGUGGCACAUACCUGUAAUUCCAGAGAACUGGGAGGCUGAGGCAGGAGGACCACAAGUUCAAGACCAGCCUCAGCAACUUAAUAAGGCCCUGAGCAACUCAGUGGGACCCUGUCUCAA
rnacentral:sRNA from 1 species